rnacentral:rRNA from 1 species
CUACGGGAUGCACCAGUGAGGAAUAUUGCACAAUGGGGGAAACCCUGAUGCAGCAACGCCGCGUGGAGGAUGACGCAUUUCGGUGUGUAAACUCCUUUUAUCAGAGAAGAAAAUGACGGUAUCUGAUGAAUAAGCUCCGGCUAACUCCGUGCCAGCAGCCGCGGUAAGACGGAGGGAGCAAGCGUUACUCGGAAUCACUGGGCGUAAAGGACGCGUAGGCGGGUUUUCAAGUCAGGUGUGAAAUCCAAUGGCUCAACCAUUGAACUGCACUUGAAACUGGGAACCUAGAGUAUGGAAGGGGCAGAUGGAAUUAGUGGUGUAGGGGUAAAAUCCGCAGAUAUCACUAGGAAUACCUAAAGCGAAAGCGAUCUGCUGGGACAUUACUGACGCUGAGGCGUGAAAGCGUGGGGAGCAAAUAGGAUUAGAUACCCGCGUAGUC